GGCGAACGGGUGAGUAACACGUGGGUGAUCUGCCCUGCACUUCGGGAUAAGCCUGGGAAACUGGGUCUAAUACCGGAUAGGACGAUGGUUUGGAUGCCAUUGUGGAAAGUUUUUCGGUGUGGGAUGAGCUCGCGGCCUAUCAGCUUGUUGGUGGGGUAAUGGCCUGCCAAGGCGUCGACGGGUAGCCGGCCUGAGAGGGUGUACGGCCACAUUGGGACUGAGAUACGGCCCAG
rnacentral:rRNA from 1 species